rnacentral:sRNA from 1 species
UUUUUUUUGCUGUUAGUUUUGCAAAUUUUCCCAAUUUAUAUGAGAUAUGUCAAACAUUAAGACAUUCAAAACCAUGGGACGGCUACUUAAUUCUUAAUUGUUUAUA